rnacentral:rRNA from 1 species
CCUACGGGAGGCAGCAGUGGGGAAUAUUGGACAAUGGGGGGAACCCUGAUCCAGCCAUGCCGCGUGUGUGAAGAAGGCCCUCGGGUUGUAAAGCACUUUCAGUGAGGAAGAACGCCUGGUGGUUAAUACCCAUCAGGAAAGACAUCACUCACGGAAGAAGCACCGGCUAACUCCGUGCCAGCAGCCGCGGUAAUACGGAGGGUGCGAGCGUUAAUCGGAAUUACUGGGCGUAAAGCGCGCGUAGGUGGCUUGAUAAGCCGGUUGUGAAAGCCCCGGGCUCAACCUGGGAACGGCAUCCGGAACUGUCAAGCUAGAGUGCAGGAGAGGAAGGUAGAAUUCCCGGUGUAGCGGUGAAAUGCGUAGAGAUCGGGAGGAAUACCAGUGGCGAAGGCGGCCUUCUGGACUGACACUGACACUGAGGUGCGAAAGCGUGGGUAGCAAACAGGAUUAGAUACCCGUGUAGUC